rnacentral:rRNA from 1 species
CUACGGGUUGCUGCAGUGGGGGAUAUUGCACAAUGGGCGAAAGCCUGAUGCAGCAACGCCGCGUGAAGGAAGACGGAUUACGGUCUGUAAACUUCUAUCAGCUGGGAAGAAAAUGACGGUACCAGACUAAGAAGCCCCGGCUAACUACGUGCCAGCAGCCGCGGUAAUACGUAGGGGGCAAGCGUUAUCCGGAUUUACUGGGUGUAAAGGGUACGUAGGCGGUCGCUUAAGUCAGAUGUGAAAGCCCGAAGCUCAACUUCGGGACUGCAUUUGAAACUGGGUGACUAGAGUACAGGAGAGGAAAGCGGAAUUCCUAGUGUAGCGGUGAAAUGCGUAGAUAUUAGGAAGAACACCAGUGGCGAAGGCGGCUUUCUGGACUGUAACUGACGCUGAGGUACGAAAGCGUGGGGAGCGAACAGGAUUAGAUACCCCCGUAGUC